rnacentral:rRNA from 1 species
GGGUUGUGAGGUUAAGCGACUAAGCGUACACGGUGGAUGCCCUGGCAGUCAGAGGCGAUGAAGGACGUGCUAAUCUGCGAAAAGCGUCGGUAAGGUGAUAUGAACCGUUACAGCCGGCGAUGUCCGAAUGGGGAAACCCAGUGCAAUUCGUUGCACUAUCGUUAACUGAAUACAUAGGUUAACGAGGCGAACCGGGGGAACUGAAACAUCUAAGUACCCCGAGGAAAAGAAAUCAACCGAGAUUCCCCCAGUAGCGGCGAGCGAACGGGGAGCAGCCCAGAGUCUGAAUCAGCUUGUGUGUUAGUGGAACGGUCUGGAAAGUCCGACGGUACAGGGUGAUAGUCCCGUACACCAAAAUGCACAGGUUGUGAACUCGAAGAGUAGGGCGGGACACGUGGUAUCCUGUCUGAAUAUGGGGGGACCAUCCUCCAAGGCUAAAUACUCCUGACUGACCGAUAGUGAACCAGUACCGUGAGGGAAAGGCGAAAAAGAACCCCGGCGAGGGGAGUGAAAAAAGAACCUGAACCGUGUACGUACAAGCAGUGGGAGCACCUUCGGGUGUGAC